AGGACGAACGCUGGCGGUGUGCUUCACACAUGCAAGUCGAACGGGGUAGCAAUACCCAGUGGCGGACGGGUGAGUAACGCGUAGAAAUCUGCCUUGAGAUGGGGGAUAACAGUCCGAAAGGAUUGCUAAUACCGCAUAUGUAUGUAUCCGGACACGGGUGUAUAUGAAAGGAGUAAUCCGUCUUAAGAUGAGUCUGCGUCCGAUUAGCUAGUUGGUAGGGUAAAGGCCUACCAAGGCGACGAUCGGUAGCUGGUCUGAGAGGAUGAUCAGCCACAAUGGGACUGAGACACGGCCCAUACUCCUACGGGAGGCAGCAGUGGGGAAUUUUGUGCAAUGGGGGAAACCCUGACACAGCGACACCGCGUGAACGAAGAAGCCCUUGGGUGUAAAGUUCUGUCGGCUGGAACGAAAAAAUAGACGGUACCAGCAAAGGAAGCAUCGGCUAACUACGUGCCAGCAGCCGC
rnacentral:rRNA from 1 species